GCCAUUACGGCCGCUGAGAGUAACACGUAAUUCCCACCUCCAAGCUUCCAGAAGACUAGGGAGGAGCUAGUCUAGGGAUUAUUUUGAGAGAAUAGCGGAGAUCCUCUCUUUUGUUGCGUGUAACAUUGCUAAAUUAUCGGUUAAGCUUCUGUGGUCUCAGAUUUGUUUCAGUGGAAAAGGGGGUG